rnacentral:rRNA from 1 species
CUUUGGUGCAAUUGCGCAUGGGCGAAGCCUGACGCAGCGACGCCGCGUGGGUACUGAAUGCCCUCGGGUCGUAUUCCCUUUCGGGAGGAGACUCCUCUCCGAUCUAACACGUCGGGGACCUGACGCUCCUCCUAGGAAGCACCGGCUUAAUUCCGUGCCAGCAGCCGCGGUAUUACGGAGUGUACAAGCCCUCCUCGGAAUCACCUGGGCGUAAAGGGCGUGUAGGCGGUUUCCUAUCUCGGUGUGAACUCCUUCGUUCAACGAGGGACGGCGCCGGAAACGGCAACCUAUUUCCCGGAAGGUUGUGGUCCUCCCGGUCUACGGUGAUUCUGCCUAAUCUCGGGAGGAACACCGGUGGCGAGGGCGGCCUUUUUGGACGGCUCUUGACGUCGAUCCGCGAAAGCCUGGGGAGCAAACAGGAACUUAAUCCCCGGUUUCUCACGUUCUAAAACAAGGGGCACCUUGUUCUCGCGGGCUCUUGACCCCCGCCGGUGCCCGCACUUUAAUCCACCAAACUGCUUCGC